AGAUGUCAGAGUUACUAAUGGGGAAAAUCCGAAGGCUGCACUAGAUUCUUUUCAUAGCAGCGGAAAGCUUAUUUGUAGCAGAACUGCAGGAUACCAGAUAUUAACCCUGGAAAAAGAUCAGAUAUCGUAGAUGACUUGUGCAUCCUGCUAGCUGAGUGGCAGCCAUUUCCUUUAGACAGACUGAAGAUAAGAACAACACUGGAUAAAUAUAUUAUUAAGGCUGAUCAGGAGAGGAGUAUUUAAUGGCCUUGCAUCUUUUUAUGUGAGUCUUGCAGACGGCUGUACACACAGCUGGCUGAGUUGCAGUCAUUUGAAGAUGGACCCAGCCAAACAGCCCUUGUCCAAGGUCUGUCGGCUCGUGCUUUGUAGCCAGAAGGACCCACGGAGGAAAUCCUGGAUCCCGUGAAGCUUUCAAAGCACCCAACUUCCAUGGGACAUGAGACAGAGCAACAGGUCUCAGGACUUUCAAAAAUACCCUGUUGAAGCCAAAUAGACACUAAACAGAAACAUCGGACACCUAUUUUUACUGAACUCAGACUCGGAGGGGGAAUAUAAAUGCCACCUUUGGGAAUUUAGAACUUUUGAUAAGACUUUUGAGUUGUAUUUUUAUUUGAACGCUUUCUUUACUUUGUAUAACUAUUCAAAAAAACUGGAUUUAAGAAUGAAGUGCCCCUUAUAGCACUUCAGCAGUAAAGAAGGUUUAACAAUGGGGUUACCAACUCUUUGUUCCUGCACAGCUGGACGACUUUUGGCCAUACAGGAAAACUUUAUUCAAGAAGAAAGAAGUGAUCUACUGGCCAAAUGAAAGCUUUUUCCUGCUUCCGUGAAAGGGAGGAUUGGCUGAAUGAACUGUAUCACUGGCUAGCUGAGUGGCAACCAUUUCAUCUUGGACAAUGCUAAA